UGGGGCGUAGCCAAGCGGUAAGGCACCGGGUUUUGAUCCCGGCAUGCCCAGGUUCGAAUCCUGGCGCCCCAGCCA
rnacentral:tRNA from 2 species